CCGGCAAACAAUGCGAGGGUUGGUGAGGUACCUCUCGCUCUAAUUUCUCUAGUCUAGUCUAGUUGCCUCGCUUCCUCCUAUAGCGAUUCUGUCGAGCUGAGCUUUCACGUCCCUCACCACCGAUCUCCUUCCUACCCCUCGCCUAAGACCGUCUGACGUCUCGCCUGACUGCUUUCGUUGUGUUGGUGCUCGGCGGCUGCUGUCACUGUAGAAGUUAGGUUGUGUGUGUAAAAAAAUGUAAACAGUGUUGUUGGCUGAUCAAGUGCGGUAAGUUUUUUAAUAAUUAUGUUCUUAAUUUUACGUAAGUAAGUGCCAUUUUAGCAAAAGAAAGUGGUAGAAGUCCUGCCCAAUGUGUGCUGGCUCCGUCGGAAGCGUUACGUGCAUGUACCGGCGUAGGAAAGUGGUGUGGUGAACAACACAGCACAAGACAGCGGAUAUAAUUCAGAAACGAUAUGGGCCUGCGGCAGGUGUUUGCGACUGUGCGCUGUGUAUGAUUGUGUAUGAUACGCCAAUUUUCCUCUAUCCUGGAACGUGGGCUUACGAGGAACCGUUCAAGAAGAUCCUCCGGAAGCUGUACGGCGACGUGUCGGGCUCUACCAGCACAACACACUAGAGGCCCAGCCGGUACCGGGUGCCCCGAUUGCGCCGCCAGACGGUGUCGAGCGCGCUCGUUAACAACGUUCGGGGCAGGAAUUCAACCCUUCGGAUCUGCAUUAUCCUCUGCCUCACAAUAGCUGCAGCAGCAACAGGACCGAACCGACCGCACUACUGAUUGCGGUCAAAUACUGAUUGCGGUCCUGGCAGGAGAAAAAAUCCCACAAGUGUAUCGAACAGGCUACGGACGGACCCCGAAAAGGC